GGCCGGUUAGCUCAGUCGGUUGAGCUUGAUGCUGGUAACACCAAGGUCGUGGGUUCGAUUCCUAUUCAGUCCC
rnacentral:tRNA from 1 species